CAAAAAUUGAAUUCACAUUCACGCCUCCGUCGUUAACCAUCUAUAAUUGAAUUCACAUUCAUGCCUCUGCCGCAAAAUCUCCCCUCUGCCUCCCGUUAAUGCUACUCUCCGCCCCUCGCCGCACCUCAUUGUCGCCGCUACAAGCAACGAGAAGCAUAAAUGGUGUCAAGUGCAGCGGUGCCGUUUUGGAGGGCAACAGGUUUGUGAAUCCCUGGCUUCUCUUCCAAUAGCACCAGAGAAUUGAAUCUGCCUCUUAUUCACAGGGUAACAUUCAAAUUAUUUUACCAGUGUUGGUCCCCUAGGUUUUUAUGGUUAAAAAGGAACAAUGCUAAGCAUAAUGGGAUUGAGAUGAAUGCCUAUAGGGUUAUUUAAAGAAUAGAAUUUUUGGUUUCAAAUUUGAUGGGGGCUAAGUUUGUCAAUGAAUUAAACAACGUUGUAAGGAAAUCAAAGUUGAACGCAGGUAGUCUAAUGGAUGAAUCCAAUUGCAGUUGAACUCAGAUGGGUCUUUAAAAAGUGAUAAACAGGAACUUUAAGGGUAUGUUUUAUGGAGUUUCCAUGACUUCUAUAAUGAUGGACAAUAGCAGUACAAUGGAUUUCUUUAAAAUACCCUGUAAUUAUUUCUAAAGUUCCCCCAACAGUGAAUGAACAAUUUGAUUUGGCUUGCUAAUCAUAUGGCCCUUUUUGUUUUAGAAGCUUUUCUAAUUUUUUAAUUGGUGUCUUUGGGGUUCUAUUAUGAAGAAAGCUUGAUGGAAAAAUAACUAAGGAAAGAAAAUCUAAAAGUCUUCUCCAUGAGCAUAUUUGACUGAAGAAGGGGUUUAUGAUAUUUCCUCAUGUCGAUUAAUUACCAUGUGUCAAAUGUACUCGUCUAGUAAUUAUUGAUCUAUGAUAAGAAUUGGUUGGACUAAUGCUUAUUUCAUAGAUGUGGGUUUUGAUUAUCCUGAUUUAGGAACCAAUAUGGAAGUCUUUGGGAGUUUCGGCGUCAAUAUUAAAGAUUUGAACUUUGGAGAAAUUUUCUCCUCCACGUUGUGAUCAGAAUAAAUUUUCUCUAAUUUUUUAUUCCUUGCAUCUUUGUUUCUGCCAUAUUUCCCUGUUCAGCAUCGUUUUGUGGAUUAAUGUUUCAUGUUGCUGUUUGUAGUUUUAUUAAGAGAAGGUGAUUGCACCUCUUUUGGUGUUGAUGACUCUCUGCCCCUGUUGCUGCAUCUAUUUUUUAGUUUCAUAAGAAUUGCUCAAUUAAUUGGUGUUGAUUUCACUUUUUGAACAAGCAUUGCUUCACAUUUCUUUUUUUUUUUUUUUUGGUUGCAUUUUACUAUUCUGCCUGGUUUUUCCUGCUCAUCUGUGACUUUUUAUGAGUGUAUAAUACCUUCUCUUUUAUAUUUAUUUAUUUUGGUACUUGGGCUUGCAUCUCAAAAUUUAAGGCAAACGAGUGGGAAGGAUAUGAUCAUGGAUGUUACAAAGAGUAGAGUUGCUGUUGCAGUUAAUGGUUCUAAGGGAAUUUCAAGAACUGCUUGAACGUUGCAUGAGCUGUUGCAUGGGAACGUGCAUUACCUGGAUUGCUUUUCUGUUUUGUAUGCUGGCCAUUUUUCUUCUUUUUUGCAUAAUUGCUACAUUUGUUAUUCACUUGUAGGACUUAAGUCGUUAUUUCCUUUAUGUUAAUUUCUGUUGCAUUAUGUACGUGAGUUUCGACAAUCAGUUAAAGCUAGG
rnacentral:lncRNA from 1 species